UAAAAGAUGGGAAAAAA
rnacentral:sRNA from 1 species